AAUGAACGUUGGCGGCGUGGAUUAGGCAUGCGAGUCGCGCGAGAAUGUAGCAAUACAGGAAAGCGGCGGAAGGGAGAGUAAUACGUGGGAAUCUGCCCUUAGACCUGGGAUAGCAGCGGGAAACUGCUGGUAAUACCAGAUAAUGUCUAUGGACCAAGGGUGUGAUUCCGUCCAGGGAUGAGCCCACGUCCUAUUAGCUAGUUGGUAGGGUAAUGGCCUACCAAGGCGAUGAUGGGUAGCGGGUGUGAGAGCAUGACCCGCCUCACUGGGACUGAGACACUGCCCAGACACCUACGGGUGGCUGCAGUCGAGAAUCUUCGGCAAUGGGCGCAAGCCUGACCGAGCGAUGCCGCGUGCGGGAUGAAGGCCUUCGGGUUGUAAACCGCUGUCGAGGGGGAGCAACUUCCAUAGAGUUAUCUUUAUGGAUUGAGUGAUCCCUGGAGGAAGGACGGGCUAAGUUCGUGCCAGCCGCCGCUGUAAGAC
rnacentral:rRNA from 1 species